rnacentral:rRNA from 1 species
AACGAACGCUGGCGGCGUGCCUAACACAUGCAAGUCGUGCGAGAAAGUUCCUUCGGGAGCGAGUAAAGCGGCGCACGGGUGAGUAACACGUAGGUAACCUGCCCCCCAGUCUGGAACAACUAGAGGAAACUCUAGCUAAUGCCGGAUGAGACCACGAUCCCUUCGGGGGUUGCGGCCAAAGAUGGCCUCUACUUGUAAGCUAUCGCUGAGGGAUGGGCCUGCGGCCAUUAGCUUGUUGGUGAGGUAACGGCUCACCAAGGCUGUGAUGGCUAGCUGGUCUGAGAGGAUGACCAGCCACACUGGGACUGAGACACGGCCCAGACUCCUACGGGAGGCAGCAGUGGGAAUAUUGCGCAAUGGGCGAAAGCCUGACGCAGCGACG